rnacentral:rRNA from 1 species
AUACGUAGGUGGCAAGCGUUGUCCGGAUUUACUGGGUGUAAAGGGCGUGUAGGCGGAGAUGCAAGUCAGGAGUGAAAUCUAGGGGCUCAACCCCUAAACUGCUUUUGAAACUGUAUCCCUUGAGUAUCGGAGAGGCAGGCGGAAUUCCUAGUGUAGCGGUGAAAUGCGUAGAUAUUAGGAGGAACACCAGUGGCGAAGGCGGCCGGCUGGACGACAACUGACGCUGAGGCGCGAAAGCGUGGGGAGCAAACAUGAUUAGAUGCCCUGGUAGUCCACGUGGUAAACGAUGAAUACUAGGUGUGGGGGGACUGACCCCCUCCGUGCCGCAGUUAACACAAUAAGUAUUCCCCCUGGGGAGUACGAUCGCAAGAUUGAAACUUAAAGGAAUUGACGGGG